UUCCCUUCAUCCUUCCAUGGCUCUUGAUGACUUGAAGCCAUGAAAUACACUAAACUGGCAUUCCUGGAAGGAAUAUAGAGGUCUUCAGAGUUUGCAAGUUGCCAUCAGUUAUUGAUGUAGUCCAUCUUCUCUCCCCUUUUAGGAAAAUAAUUUGUAAUUAUUCGCUAUAAAUUUGUCCUAUAAGCACUUUAAUGGCUGUUGUGGACCAUGGAAUAUGAAUCUAGCACAUGUAUUAACCAAAAAUUACUCAAUGAAAGGAAGCUGAAGUCUAGUGAGAGUUUGGGUGACAUGUUUUAAAAUAGAGCAAUAAAAUUCAGCCUCUUUCUUAAAGAAAAAACCAAACAAGAUAUUCUUCCAUUUUAAAUAUUUCAUAUUCAUAUGUAUUUAUUUUCCCUUCAUCACUGAAAUUCUUCCAGCACCUUUGGUCCUAUGUGGUUUUUUUUCCUCCAUGAUUACCUGCUCUCUAUACUCUCCUCAAGUAGUCUCAGCAGUGAAACUUUUAAAAGUGCUAUUUUCCUAUAUUAGUCAGUACCUGAUAUUUGGAAAUUGUGUGCAGCAGAUCAGGAAUGUGUCUGAAUUGGAAACCUGAAUGCAAGUCCCAGUGUAUGUACAUAUUCACAGCCAGGAUUCUGGCCUGUAGGACAUCUCUGUUUCAACAACUUCUCUUAUCCAUAUUCCACUGAAUUUUAAAACAGACAUAGAAGUAGUUGGGUAAGUAUAAUAAGUUAGAUUUCUGUCCUUGUUAAUAGAAUUUUCUUUUCCUUUUCUUCUGAGCAUGUAUAUUCUGUUGGAAGUAAAAUGAAUUUGAAUAAUCAUUGAAUCAACUCAAUUGACCAUAGCAGGAUAGAAGACUGAUCCAGCUGGCCAUUUAUUUUUCUCAGGGAUUUGGAGCAGCUGUAGACCUUGACUUCACAGUUCUGUGUAACUCAACAAAAUCAAAGCAGUUGGAGUAGAGACCCUUGUAAUCAGCAUGAAAAUUAGCUAUGACUGAAUAAUUUUGUGCACAUGUACAGCAGAUUCUCUUUGAAGAGGUUUUGUGUUUGCCAGGCAGAGGAGACUGGUCAGAAGAUUGACCUGUUUAUCUGCAUUUCCAUGACUCUGAGGAUAUAAAAGAUCUUUAAAAUGUUACCUGUCCCUGCAUGGAAACAGCAUCUAAAUUUCUCCUGGCUUGUGGGCACCAUAGGGGAGAAGAAGCUCUGCAGGGUGACAGAACAGCUUCUGGAAGGCUUUUCUGACACACAGAAGCAUCCUCACAAUGUUUCAGUGCCACAGCCCACUCUCCUUUCAGGGCAAGAAGAAAUAUUGAACAAAAGAGGAGAAAGUGUGAAAAAACAGAAUUAAUGCAUUAUUAUACUUCUGUCUCUGUGGAGGAGAAGAUAAUAAACCUCUAUUUUAUCCCAGUUCUAUUUGGCUUUCAAGACCAUGUCCUCUGUUCUCACAUAACAGCAGCAGCUGCUUCUUGCUUCUCUCAAUGAGAGGUCAAAAGGCAGGUAGACCUGCCAGAUUUCAAUUAUAUAGAUAUAAAAAUAGAUUUCAAUUUUAAUCCCAUUAAAUGUUACUCAAUUCAAUAAAAUAAGAAGAGAUUAUUUUGGAAUUUCUGACAGUGUUUUGGGAAUUUAGGAUAG